CAGUUUUUAUUCGGACUGUGGUGUGACUAUAUUUGAAUGCUAUAAACUUAAAAUUUUUAUCCGUUCUCGCAUAAUUUUCGAGUCUUCUGCUUCGACGCUUACAAUUCUUAUAGUCUAUCUAGUUUUCACGAAUAAUACAAAAUGAGUGGUAAAGGUAAAGACGCUAAAAAAGGUGAUGCCAAAAAACCUGAAGCAAAAGGUGAUGCUAAAAAAACGGAAGAACCCAAAAAAGACGCUAAAAAAGGUGGAAAAAAAUAGAAUGUAUAUCUCUCCAAUAUUAGUCUUUAGGGACGUUUCUACUACGAUAUUUUAUGAAAAAUCUAUGUAAAUUAGUCUGCUUUGUAAUAAUUUUAUUUGACGAUACACUAUUGGAAA
rnacentral:lncRNA from 1 species